GCAAAUUCCCGGACUGCUAGGCGAGGAGAGGGAAGGGGGCGGAGGAGACAGGGCUACUGCAGGCGCAGCGCUGGGGGCAGCCGGGGGCCCGAGUGGCUGAGGCUGGUCCCGCAGCGGCCGCUUGCCGGCGUUCUGGCUCCUGUGGCCUCACCAGGAAGCGUCAGAGUCUCGACACUGGGGAAGCUCGGAGCGCCGCCUCCGCCGCCGCCGCCUCCUGCCUGGCUCUGGGUCCCCGAGCCCCCUCCCCUGGCCCAGCCCGACUCCCUCCUCCUUCCCGAACCAUCCGGCUCGGGCUCCUUCCCUGGCGAUGGCUGGCCGCUGAGCCAUGGCUCAGUACGGCCACCCCAGUCCGCUCGGCAUGGCUGCGAGAGAGGAGCUGUACAGCAAAGUCACCCCCCGGAGGAACCGCCAACAGCGCCCCGGCACCAUCAAGCAUGGAUCGGCGCUGGACGUGCUUCUCUCCAUGGGGUUCCCCAGAGCCCGCGCGGCCCGCCUGUCCCCACGUAGGGAGUGAAUCACCAGGCCCAGCAAGCCCCGUGGAGGCCUCCGAGAUGGGCACCCGGAGACAAGGA
rnacentral:sRNA from 1 species